CGAGUUUUGGUGCAAAAUAUAUAGAUGUCUUUAAAAAUGCAAAGAAAAAACUAAACACUUUCACAUAUGUUGCAAAUGAACAGGCUUUACAGGCUGUAAGCUCUGCCCACACUAGAAUGCAGCAUAGCCAACCAGGAACCUGUCAUGCUGAUCUGUGGAGGAUGAAAUCAGCACUGCAAGGUGUAAAGUGCUGAUAAAGCACAAAUUGAAUAAUGCUCUGCUCAGAGAUUGGACAUGUGCCAGUCUGUUCAGUACAAAGUGAACUUCUAAAAUACGUCAGGCACUGGUUUCCCAGAUUCAUAAAAGAAAUUGAUCAGUUCUGACUUUUAUCCG